rnacentral:lncRNA from 1 species
ACUAUUUGACUUGAAUCAAUUCCAUAAACACAUAAAGACAGCUGGUAUCAUUUUUACACAUACUCGCGACACAAAAUGAGAAUCAAUGUACUCCCACAAAUAGUGAUACUGUAGUAUUUUCAAAGUGCUACAAAAUAGAAGCUGACCUUUAAAGAACAACUGCUUUAGAAUUGAUUAUAUAUUGAAUCUCUUCGAAUACAUUGGAGAAAAGAAUACGGAUAUAGCUCCAACUUCACCCAAAUCAUCAACUAUAGAACCUCGACGAACUUGACGGACGGAGCUCAGAAAAAUUUCAGCAACAUUCAACAACUCUAACGACAGAAAAUCACUCGCAAUUCCAGAAAAGUUGAAGCAAAAGAGUAAAAAAUCGAAAAUAGCCUUCAAACUAUUUAUUUUUCUGUUUUUUCGUUUAUUUUUCCUUUUGAGUCUCACCAUUUCUCUUAUGUGUGUUUCUUUUUAAUUUGAUGGAAAGAGGGCUACGAAUAUGGGGGGGAAAGGAAAGCGGCUGGAUUUUAGAGACUUAGCUACGUUUUUCGUUUUUUUUUUUGUUUUUUUGUUGAGAAUAAUCGAUAAGAG